GACGAACGCUGGCGGCGUGCUUAACACAUGCAAGUCGAACGAUGAUCCUUUCUUCGGUUAGGUGAUUAGUGGCGAACGGGUGAGUAACACGUGAGUAACCUGCCCUCCACUUCGGGAUAACUGUGGGAAACUUCAGCUAAUACCGGAUAUUCUGCUGCUUCCGCAUGGGGGUGGUUGGAAAGAUAUUUUGGUGGGGGAUGGACUCGCGGCCUAUCAGCUUGUUGGUGGGGUAGUGGCCUACCAAGGCGGUGACGGGUAGCCGGCCUGAGAGGGCGACCGGCCACACUGGGACUGAGAUACGGCCCAGACUCCUACGGGAGGCAGCAGUGGGGAAUAUUGCACAAUGGGCGAAAGCCUGAUGCAGCAACGCCGCGUGCGGGAUGACGGCCUUCGGGUUGUAAACCGCUUUCAGCAGGGGCGAAUUUGACGGUACCUGCAGAAGAAGCACCGGCUAACUACGUGCCAGCAGCCGCAGUAAAAC
rnacentral:rRNA from 1 species